UUGACGGGGCCCGCACAAGCGGUGGAGCAUGUGGUUAAUUCGAAGCAACGCGAAGAACCUUACCAGGUCUUGACAUCCCUGACAACCCGAGAGAUCGGGCGUUCCCCCUUCGGGGGACAGGGUGACAGGUGGUGCAUGGUUGUCGUCAGCUCGUGUCGUGAGAUGUUGGGUUAAGUCCCGCAACGAGCGCAACCCUCGACCUUAGUUGCCAGCAUUCAGUUGGGCACUCUAAGGUGACUGCCGGCUAAAAGUCGGAGGAAGGUGGGGAUGACGUCAAAUCAUCAUGCCCCUUAUGACCUGGGCUACACACGUGCUACAAUGGGCGGUACAAAGGGUCGCGAACCCGCGAGGGGGAGCCAAUCCCAAAAAGCCGCUCUCAGUUCGGAUUGCAGGCUGCAACUCGCCUGCAUGAAGCCGGAAUCGCUAGUAAUCGCGGAUCAGCAUGCCGCGGUGAAUACGUUCCCGGGCCUU
rnacentral:rRNA from 1 species